AUUCCAGCUCCAAUAGCGUAUAUUUAAGUUGUUGCAGUUAAAAAGCUCGUAGUUGGAUUUUGGUUAAGAGGGCGCGGUCGGCCGUUUGGUCUGUACUGCGUUGUCUUGACUUCCUGAUGAGGACAUGCUCUUGGUUAACGCUGAGACAUGGAGUCAUCGUGGUUACUUUGAAAAAAUUAGAGUGUUCAAAGCGGGCUUACGCUUGAAUAUAUUAGCAUGGAAUAACACUAUAGGACUCCUGUCCUAUCUCGUUGGUCUCGGGAUGGGAGUAAUGAUUAAGAGGAACAGUUGGGGGCAUUCGUAUUUCAUUGUCAGAGGUGAAAUUCCUGGAUUUAUGAAAGACGAACUUCUGCGAAAGCAUUUGCCAAGGAUGUUUUCAUCG
rnacentral:rRNA from 1 species